GACGAACGCUGGCGGCGUGCUUCAUACAUGCAAGUCGAACGAGAAUCUGACUUCGGUCAGAGGAAAGUGGCGGACGGGUGAGUAAUAUGUAGGAAAUCUGCCUUCUAGAGGGGGACAACAGAGGGAAACUUCUGCUUAUACCCCAUAUGAGCUACCUUGAAAUAGGUAUCUUGAAAACUCCGGUGCUAGAAGAUGAGCCUGCAUCUGAUUAGCUUGUUGGUGGUGUAAUGGACUACCAAGGCGACGAUCAGUAGCUGGUUUGAGAGGAUGAUCAGCCACAAUGGGACUGAGACACGGCCCAUACUCCUACGGGAGGCAGCAGUAGGGAAUUUUGGACAAUGGGCGCAAGCCUGAUCCAGCCAUGCCGCGUGUGUGAAGAAGGCCUUCGGGUUGUAAAGCACUUUCGGCCGGAACGAAAUCGCCCGUGUUAACAGCGCGGGUGGAUGACGGUACCGGAAGAAGAAGCACCGGCUAACUACGUGCCAGCCGCCGCCGUAA
rnacentral:rRNA from 1 species